GGAAGUAAAAAUCGUAACAAGGUUUCCGUAGGUGAACCUGCGGAAGGAUCAUUAUUGUAUAACCGAGGUGCGAGGACUGUCGCUGACCCGAAAGGUCGUGCACGCCCGAGUGCCCUCACACACAUCCAUCUCACCCCUAUGUGCACCACCGCGUGGGUCCCCCUUUGGCUUGUUCGGAGGGGGGCUUACGUUUUCACACAAACUUUGUAUGCAGUGUAGAAUGUAUUUUUUGUUUUUGCGAUCACGCAAUCAAUACAACUUUCAACAACGGAUCUCUUGGCUCUC
rnacentral:misc_RNA from 1 species